rnacentral:lncRNA from 1 species
AGCAGCUCCCCCCACACACGGCCCUCCCCCCACACACACACCCGGCGGCUCCCCCACACAGAGCUGGGAGGCUCCAGUACUCUCGGAGCUUGGCUGGGGCUCCUGGGGAGGGCCGUGGCUCCUCCUCACCCGCUGGGGAGCCAGGAGUUCCAGGCCUCCUGCCCUGGUCACCUACGCGUCACCUAAGCCCCGAGGCCAGGCGGCUUCUUGUCUACUAAAGACUUCCGGAGAGAGGCAUUCACCCUGUGGUCAGAGCUGGGGUUUCCAUGGAGGAGCACCACAGCCAUAAAGAAAGUUAUGGAGGCUGUGAAGUGCAAGGUCAAGAGGCUGCAUCUGGUGAAGACCUUCUUGCUGGUAGGGUCUCUCUACCUGGUCCUGAGGCAGUCCAGGGCAUCACAUGGCUGGUGAGCCCCAGAGCGGAGGACCCUGCCGAGCUGUUUCCAGACUCCUGAUCCACAGAAACCGUGAGAGGAUAACAUUGUUCUGCUUGAAGCCACUACACCUGCCGUCACUUGUCUCGCAUCAUUAGGGAACCAACGUGCUCUGGAAGACAGCAACUCUCAGGGUCCAUUCCGCUGACACCAGCGCCUCAGAUGACACAGGACGUGGCAUGGUGGCUAUUGACUCAUCAAGGGAACAGCAAUGGUAACAACAAAACCUGGUUGUUCAGAAGUCACACACUCAAGGCCCUACGGGGCCAAGAGGGGUCCAGGAGCAGCCCAGUGAGCGGGGCAGGGGAGGGGUGCAGUCCACCCAGGACCCGUGCUGCCCACAGGCUGCUGCUGUGCUCGGAGAGGGCCUGCCACAUGUGUCCGCAGAGAGAAUCCGGGAAUGCAAAUUUCUAAGCGAAUUUCUCCAUACUUCAAUGUUUGACAAUCAGUAAUUUUUCUUUGUAAUUGAUUUUUUAAAUGUGAAACUCUUUUCAGGCAAACAAAACACACUUGCAGGCUGCCAUUACACAAUUUUGUUUUAAUCAUUUUAAGGUCUUCAUUGUCUUUUACACAAAAGCUGGGAAUAUUCUCCCUCUUUCCAGAAUUCAACUGGUUUAGUGACUAGGAAGAUAUUUUGUAAUACAUUUUUU